CCUACGGGUGGCAGCAGUAGGGAAUCUUCCACAAUGGGCGCAAGCCUGAUGGAGCAACACCGCGUGAGUGAAGACGGGUUUCGGCUCGUAAAGCUCUGUUGUUGGAGAAGAACGUGCGUGAGCGUAACUGUUCACGCAGUGACGGUAUCCAACCAGAAAGUCACGGCUAACUACGUGCCAGCAGCCGCGGUAAUACGUAGGUGGCUAGCGUUAUCCGGAUGUUUUGGGUGUAAAGGGAGCGCAGGCGGUUGCUUAGGUCUGAUGUGAAAGUCUUCGGCUUAACCGAAGAAGUGCAUCGGAUACCGGGCGACUUGAGUGCAGAUGAGGAAGGUGGAACUCCAUGUGUAGCGGUGGAAUGCGUAGAUAUAUGGAAGAACCCCAGUGGCGAAGGCGGCUGUCUGGUCUGCAACUGACGCUGAGGCUCGAAAGCAUGGGUAGCGAACAGGAUUAGAUACCCCUGUAGUC
rnacentral:rRNA from 1 species